rnacentral:rRNA from 1 species
ACCGGUAAGGAGUGCUGGAGCGAAUAGAAGUGAGCAUGCAGGCAUGAGUAGCGAUAAUUAAUGUGAGAAUCAUUAACGCCGUAAACCCAAGGUUUCCUACGCGAUGCUCGUCAUCGUAGGGUUAGUCGGGUCCUAAGUCGAGUCCGAAAGGGGUAGACGAUGGCAAAUUGGUUAAUAUUCCAAUACCAACAUUAGUGUGCGAUGGAAGGACGCUUAGGGCUAAGGGGGCUAGCGGAUGGAAGUGCUAGUCUAAGGUCGUAGGAGGUUAUACAGGCAAAUCCGUAUAACAAUACUCCGAGAACUGAAAGGCUUUUUGAAGUCUUCGGAUGGAUAGAAGAACCCCUGAUGCCGUCGAGCCAAGAAAAGUUUCUAAGUUUAGCUAAUGUUGCCCGUACCGUAAACCGACACAGGUGGGUGGGAUGAGUAUUCUAAGGCGCGUGGAAGAACUCUCUUUAAGGAACUCUGCAAAAUAGCACCGUAUCUUCGGUAUAAGGUGUGGUUAGCUUUGUAUUAGGAUUUACUCCGAAAGCAAGGAAACUUACAACAAAGAGUCCCUCCCGACUGUUUACCAAAAACACAGCACUCUGCUAACUCGUAAGAGGAUGUAUAGGGUGUGACGCCUGCCCGGUGCUCGAAGGUUAAUUGAUGGGGUUAGCAUUAGCGAAGCUCUUGAUCGAAGCCCGAGUAAACGGCGGCCGUAACUAUAACGGUCCUAAGGUAGCGAAAUUCCUUGUCGGUUAAAUACCGACCUGCAUGAAUGGCGUAACGAGAUGGGAGCUGUCUCAAAGAGGGAUCCAGUGAAAUUGUAGUGGAGGUGAAAAUUCCUCCUACCCGCGGCAAGACGGAAAGACCCCGUGGACCUUUACUACAGCUUGACACUGCUACUUGGAUAAGAAUGUGCAGGAUAGGUGGGAGGCUUUGAGUAUAUGACGCCAGUUGUAUAUGAGCCAUUGUUGAGAUACCACUCUUUCUUAUUUGGGUAGCUAACCAGCUUGAGUUAUCCUCAAGUGGGACAAUGUCUGGUGGGUAGUUUGACUGGGGCGGUCGCCUCCCAAAUAAUAACGGAGGCUUACAAAGGUUGGCUCAGAACGGUUGGAAAUCGUUCGUAGAGUAUAAAGGUAUAAGCCAGCUUAACUGCAAGACAUACAAGUCAAGCAGAGACGAAAGUCGGUCUUAGUGAUCCGGUGGUUCUGUGUGGAAGGGCCAUCGCUCAAAGGAUAAAAGGUACCCCGGGGAUAACAGGCUGAUCUCCCCCAAGAGCUCACAUCGACGGGGAGGUUUGGCACCUCGAUGUCGGCUCAUCGCAUCCUGGGGCUGGAGCAGGUCCCAAGGGUAUGGCUGUUCGCCAUUUAAAGCGGUACGCGAGCUGGGUUCAGAACGUCGUGAGACAGUUCGGUCCCUAUCUGCCGUGGGCGUAAGAAGAUUGAAGAGAUUUGACCCUAGUACGAGAGGACCGGGUUGAACAAACCACUGGUGUAGCUGUUGUUCUGCCAAGAGCAUCGCAGCGUAGCUAAGUUUGGAAAGGAUAAACGCUGAAAGCAUCUAAGCGUGAAGCCAACUCUAAGAUGAAUCUUCUCUAAGCUCUCUAGAAGACUACUAGUUUGAUAGGCUGGGUGUGUAAUGGAUGAAAGUCCUUUAGCUGACCAGUACUAAUAGAGCGUUUGGCUUAUCUUUAAUAAAGCAU